GGAGAGAUGCCGGAGCGGUCGAACGGGCCACCCUGGAAAGGUGGUAUACUCGCAAGGGUAUCGAGGGUUCGAAUCCCUCUCUCUCCG
rnacentral:tRNA from 1 species